rnacentral:misc_RNA from 1 species
UGGCUCUAAAACAGCCGCGCACAACGGUACAUCGCCAUUUCUCUCACGGUCCUAUCAAUGGGCUAAGCUAUGCCACUGACCCUCUAAGGCAAAGUGCAUAUGAGCUCUACAUUCGUUUCUCCCUGAAAUCAUCGGGGUUAGAUCUGCAUUUUCUACGUUUUUUUGGGAGGCCUCUCUGCUGUCUUGGAAGACUGUUGGCUUUUCUUGGGUGUUUGCAGGAACUAGGUGUCAAUGUUUCCUCUUCCAGACAGCGAUCGGAGCUGGGCGGCACUGCUGACUGCUGCCUCUUCAUGGUUCUGUUGGUAGCCUAGGAUUUCUUGUGUGAUGAACUUGGGACUUAUCUGUUUCUAGGGCUAGCUUAAUUCUUUAGGGCCUCUAGUCCAUUGUGUUUCUUCUCUGUGGUUGAACUGCUGUUGGAUCUGGCUUUGUAACCUUGGGCUGACAAUGAAACUUAUCUUCGAUUAAAAUAAAAAAAAAAAAAAAA